UACAGAGGGGGCAAGCGUUAUUCGGAAUUAUUGGGCGUAAAGGGCGCGUAGGCGGCCUGGCAAGUGGAAGGUGAAAUCCCUCGGCUUAACCGAGGAACUGCCUUCCAAACUGCUUGGCUUGAGUCCGGGAGAGGUGAGUGGAAUUCCCAGUGUAGCGGUGAAAUGCGUAGAUAUUGGGAGGAACACCAGUGGCGAAGGCGGCUCACUGGACCGGAACUGACGCUGAUGCGCAAAAGCGUGGGGAGCAAACGGGG
rnacentral:rRNA from 1 species